rnacentral:rRNA from 1 species
GCUAUACAUGCAAGUCGAGCGGACAGAAGGGAGCUUGCUCCCGGAUGUUAGCGGCGGACGGGUGAGUAACACGUGGGUAACCUGCCUGUAAGACUGGGAUAACUCCGGGAAACCGGAGCUAAUACCGGAUAGUUCCUUGAACCGCAUGGUUCAAGGAUGAAAGACGGUUUCGGCUGUCACUUACAGAUGGACCCGCGGCGCAUUAGCUAGUUGGUGGGGUAAUGGCUCACCGAGGGGACGAUGCGUAGGCGACCUGAGAGGGUGAUCGGCCACACUGGUACUGAGACACGGCC